rnacentral:snRNA from 1 species
UUUGCUUCUUGACCUUUUGGCAAGGAUCAAGUGAAGCAUAUGUUUUUAUCAGUUUAAUAUCUGUUAUGCCCUCAACUUGAGGUUUUUAUAUUAAAUGAGUUUGGGGACUGGGAAAUGUGCUGGGAGCUUAU